rfam:Serratia marcescens FGI94, complete genome.
CAUUUAUUGAGUAUAUGGGGAUGAAUCGCCGACAUUCAACGUCCAGAAUGCAGGAAAAAAAAAUGGGGGAUAAAAUCCCCCAUUUUGCGAUUAACC